rnacentral:lncRNA from 1 species
GGUUGGCAUGGGGAGAGGAAGUUCAGAUGGGGAGACUUGGAGAUUUUCUGAGAAGUGGUCUGAUGCAGAACUGAAAAGGCCAACACGAGAAUCUUCAAGUACAAUUGCCUGGGAAUCCUGAGGUCUGGACAGCAACACCUGAAUCUGAAUCUCUUUUGGGUUGAAUCAUAAAAGAAAAUAGUAUGGAGAGAUUUAAGGCCAGGCCUCUGGAGAAGGAAUUGAUAAAAUAUGUGGUAGUACCUGCGCUACAGAACAGAAUUCACUUGGAAGUUCUUGGCAUAUAAAUGAAAACAGAUGGGCUGGGAAGCCAGUGGAUCAAAAGAAGGACCUGGGGGAAGCUCAGCUUGGGGACCGGCUUGCUCUUUGCCCUCACUAUUUGUCAACUGGGAAUCUCCUGGGUGCUCAGCUGUGCUGGAAUCUCAGAUGAGUAAAUUGAAGCCCAGAAAGGCCAAGAAACUUGAACCAUUUAGGUGAAGAAGAGUGCUCACCAGAUUCCCUUCUGGUCUGGAAAAAGAAAUCCCUUCUUUUGUGGAUGUCAUCUCUACCAUCUCUCGGUGAAAAAUAUUUCAAGAGAAUCCUAAGAUGGAGAGAGCAUUGGAAGUCAUCCGGCCCAAUUCCCUUGUGCAAUUCAAAGCUUCUUUGUAAGAAAAAUGCCCCCAGAAGUUUGUUUGCAUCAUGAAGAUCAGAUUUUGAGGAUCCAGUCUGGCUCUUCCCUGUACAAAACAUUCCUCACAAACAGAAUAUGGACAAUUGUUAAAUGUCAAAGGUAAAGUUAUUGUGGGAACUCCUUCAAAAAGUUCAAGUGAGAGCCCAUUCUAUGAAUGACCAUUUACAUCUAAUUUUUUUCUGUGCUAUGUUACUUAUUCUGAAGUGGUUGAUCCAAUUCCUAAAAGGGAAUAUUUCAUUACCUUUUAUUUCCUAUAGCAUCCAUUCUGACCCCUUUUCGGUUUAAUUAUUCCCUGAUUCCAGUCUUCAUUCACUCAUUUAUUUGAGGAAUAUUUAUUGACCAACAACUAUGCCAGGUCCCAUUCUAUGUGUAGGGACUAUAAAGUUGAACAAGACAGAGGAGGUACUGGCCUCAGAAUUUACAUUCUAGUAGAUGAGAAAGUAAAAAUAAACACAUGAAAACAUGAAUGAACCGGAUAUUGUAGACUGUGAUAGGUGUAGUUUGGGUAAAGCACAGAGUGCAGUAGUAAAGAUAAACUGCACUCAGAGUGGGGCUAUUUUAGAUGGAAUGGAGAUCUCUGAGGAAAUGAAAUUUGAGCUGAGACCUAAAAGGUCACCCAAGGACUCAUGGGAAAACUCAGUUGUUUCUAUCAAAAUUUAGCUUCAUGAACUCCAGGCCCUUGCAAAUGAUGGUUACCAGGUGAGAAAUGUCUCACUGGCAACAGAGGUUGGCAGACCCAGCUCCAGUUCCAUCCCAGCCAACAUACCAAUGUCAUUAAAAUAAGGCCAUUCAUCAAGGUGGAGACUAUUACUAGAAACAAGCAUUCUAAAGUGCCAUUUGAGUGCCAGGCUCUCAACACUGGGCGUAGCACUGCUCCAUGAGGCUUUUGAGAGCAUAUACUGAGGCAUGACCAAAAAAAUUAAGUCCCAUGUAAGUGAUGCAACUGCUCCCCAAUUACUGUGGAAGUAUCUGCAGACUAACUAUUGUGCGUGUGUGUUUGUUUGCUUUAAUGAAUAAAUUCAGUCAACCAACCAUCUAGCUAUUGACUAAAUCCAUUCUUUUUCUUCCAAAAUGUCUAUUGGCUGAAGUUUACUGGUUUUUAUUUCUAUUCGCAUACGUAAUUUUCUAAACCCCAUUCUUAUGGAACCUUCUCUAAGUUCCUCUCUAUGGCCCUGUCCAUGUUCAUACGGAUACACAUAAAGACACAAAUACACCAAACUAAGUUUAGAGCAGUCUGGUGCCUGCCUAAGACUUCAGCCUCAUCUCCUGCUUCUACCCUCUUUAGUUUAGGAAAAACAGGUAACGUUGCUGAGUGCCAAGUAUUGUGUUAGUAGCUUUGCAUGCAUUUUUUCAUUUUAUCUUCACAAGUUUCUUCUAUCACCAUGAUCUGUAUGUUUGACCAUGGUGUUUCCUCCACCUGAAAUUCCCUUGGUGCUCUGCCUGGGGAACUGUUACUCAUUCUUCAAAUCUCAACGGAAUGAUCUCCUCCUCUGGAAAGCUCUCCCUACUUCCCUAGGAAGAAGUAAUCCCUUCCUCAGUUCUGCUUUGAUUAUAACUUUAUAAGCACCUAUCACUCUGCAUGGUAUUAGUUCACUGUCAUGUCCAUUUCCUCUAUUGGGAUGUAAAUUGCUUAUGGGUAAUAAUUAGGCUUUGAAUCAUUUUAUGAUCUGGCCUAAGACAGUGCUUGGCACAUACUAUAGGCUCAUCAGAUGAUGGCUGAGUAGAAUUAAAUUGAAUCAAGUUGAAGUUAUACUUUGAUGUUUAUCAAUUAACAUGUGUAGUGUGUUAAAUGGUGGUCACUGAAAACAUACGUCUGCACCCUAAUUCCUGGAACCUGUGAAUAUAACCUUACAUGUUAAGAAGAAAUAUGACCUUAAAUGGAUAUGGAGACAAGGAGCUUAUCCUGGAUUGUCUGAGAGGGCCCUAGAUGCAAUCGCAUGUAUUCUGAUAAGUGGAGAGAAACAGAAGAGGAGGAUGCAAUGUGACCAUGUAGGCAGAAGUUUGAAUGGUGCAGCCACAAGCCAAGGAGCCCCUGGGGCCAUCAGAAGCUGGAAGAAGCAAGGAAUGGAUUCCUUCCUAGUGUUUGGAAGGAGUGUGCACUUGCCAACACCUUGGUUUGAGACUUCUGGCCUCUGGAACUGUGACAGAAUAAAUAUCUGUUGUUUUGAGCCACCCAAUUGUUGCUAAUUUGUUAAAGCAACCUUAGAAAAUUAAUAUAGCAUCCACAAUAAAAUUUCUCAAAAUAUAUGUUCCUGUGAAAUGGAAGAGUUCUAGGGAUCUAGUAGCAUAUACGGAACCCAGAUAAGUUAUACAAGUUUUUCCCUGAAAGUCUUUUCAGAUUCUUUAGCGGGCUAAGGUGCAUUGUGAAUCCCAAAAACUUUAGCGUUUUUCAGCAUCUAUUAUCACAUAAUCCUUUCCCCACCCAUGGAAUUAUAUACUAAACUGUUUUUGUAGAUGUUGAUGUUCUGUAGAACAGAGUUUUGGGGUCUGUAUGACUUAAGAUCCUUCUACAAUGGAACACAGUGAGGAGGGUAUUCAGAGGAGUCAUAGAGGGCAUUGAUCUUGCAAUAUAUACUCAGGAAAUUACCAUGGGCAGAAUAAAAUGCUUUUGAAAAUAUUUAAUGUUUGCUUGGCAUUGUUUCUCUUGGGUUUAGCUUUGCAAAAUUUUCCUCAGGUAUCAUUUUUCUUGUUGCCAUGGAGCCAAUUCACUUCCCAAGGCAAGUUGGUGAUUGGCCUAAGGGAAACUAUUGAGAAAAAAUGGACAGCUCAAGAUGUGGUUUGAAACAUUGAUGUUCUUUCUUGGUGCACUUAACUCUUCUCUCUGCUAUUAUUUUUCUUCUUCACUCUCCUGGAAUCUCCCUCUUUCCCAGUGUAAGUGAGAGUCUAAUAGCUCAUGAUGCAGCUUGGUUUGUUGUGUAUUGAAGUGACCGUAGCUGCAUUUGUUUUGGCAAACCCAUCAUCAUUUGUCUGAGGCAUAACAAUGGCCUCUUUAUUGAUGGUUUAAUCCAGUUCCUGAGGCUGGAUUAAAUAAAUGAGACAAUUGAACCUCAGAUAGGUAAGUGACUUGGCCUUGGUCACCUAGCAAGGCACUGCUAGCCAGACACACAAUCUCACUUAGUAAUUUCUGUCUAGUGCCUCCUACUAGACAGGCCAAGGCCCAGGGCACUGCACUCUGCAUGGGGUGGAAGUAGGGUGUAGCAUUGGAAUGGAGGUAGUGGUAGAAUGCAGUACUUAAAGCCAAGGAGAGAACACUAAAGAAUCCAUAGCCCCAGGAGAAGUAAAGUCAAAGGGAACCAAAAUCCAAAGGCAGUAAUCACCGAGAGGGACUCAGGAGUGAGAGAAAAUUCAUGGACAAGUGGCAGGUCAGAAGCCAGGGAAGUCAGGGCUGCCAGAAAUUUGCAAGCAGCAGGCAGGACCCCUAGUCUUUAUACAACCCUGGUCUUUCUGUAAAAGGCUGGAAAAAAACAGCUUUUUCAAACAUGCUAUAUUCAAAUGUGCCAUAAUUGUUCUGUUUUGAGAAACCAGAAUGGUCUGGCUUUUGUGCAGAAAUAAGGAGAAUAUCAUCCUUUGCUGCUCAAUGAUAAAUGUAUUGCCUGAACCUGAGCCUGGAAGACACUGCCCUACAUGUGCCCAAUGUCUCACAAUGCUUCCUUUGGGCAGUUUAGUUUGGUGUGUGACCUCUGACCUCAAAGUAUCUGAAUAGAAAACAUAACCACACUAGUUCACGCUACCUAUUCCUCUUUCCUCCAAGCAAGUACACUGAAAAUGCUAAGUCCAAACUGUGAAAGAUCUGAGAUAUUACUGUAUUUGCAAGCUACAAAGUUAGCCCUCCACAAUAUGUAUAUAUGCUUAUGUAUAUAUAUUUAUGUGUGUGUGUGCAUGCACACAUGUGUGAGGUGUGUAAUAUAUAUAUAACUUUAUAUCUGACCAAGUUUUGCAUGCCACGUUCUCACAAAGCAACACAAUGAGGGCUUGAUGUCACUGCAUGUGCAGUGGCGUUGGCUCUACAGGAGAAGAGGAACCCUGAAGUUAUAAAGUUUGGAAGUUUAUGGGACAUCCAUCCAUGUUUUCUUCUGGAAAGAGGAAGAAAUAAAUACUUUACUCUUGAAUGGAAAAAAAAAUAUUUUUGUGGAGAAGAGGGGAGGGUUUUUAUUUUGCCACCCUAGACUGUAAACAAACGGUUUCAGGGACAGAAAAAUCCUGAGGUCUCUAUCUUUAGGUUUCAUACUAUGGUCCAAAUAUGUGUGUAUCCUCAAAAUUCAUGCGCUGAAAUCCUAAUCCUAAAGUGACAGUAUUAGAAAGUGGGGCCUUUGGGAGGUGAUUAGAGGAUGAAGGUGGAGGCCUCAUGAAUGGGAUUAGAGUCUUUAUAAAAGGACCUGAAGGAGCUUUUUUACCCUGCCACCAUGUGAGGACACAGUGAGAAGGCACCAUCUAUGAACCAGAAAGCAGAUGCCCUAACCAGACACUGAAUAUGCUGGCGCCUUGAUCUUGGACUCAGCACACAGAACUGUGAGAAAUAAAUUUCUAUUGUUUGUAAGCUACCCAGUCUAUGGUACUUUCUUAUAGCAUCCCAAAUGGACUAAAACAUUUGAUAUUCAGUCAAAUGUUCUUUGUUCAGUGUUGUUUGUUCAUAAAGCUCUGACCAUGAGGAAACAUGAAAAUAUUUGUGGAGCACUGUCUCCCAAUACCAAAACUCAUCGUUUCUCUCUUAAAAAUAAAGGCAUUUCCAGAACAUCAAUAGAUGCUGGGGUAAGUAAAGGAAGGAGAGAAAAAGAAUGAAAAAGGAAUGAAGCUAUUGUACAUAUGAGCAGUGCCUGGGUUCUAGUUAAAUGAGCCUAAAAUGCCUGUUGCUAUCAUGAUAAGUUACACACAUGUCAAUGUGAACUCUCACUAACCAAGGAGAAAACUGAGAUAACUCUUAUUUUCCUCUCUCCCCUCCCCUCCCCUCCCCUCUCCCUCCCUCCCUUCCUUCCUUCUUUCCUUCCUUUUCUCUUUGUUCUUUCUUUCUUUUGAUUUCUUUCUUUUUCUUUCUUUCUUCUUGCUUCUCUAUUUCUUCCUUUCUUUUUCUUUCUUUCUUCUUUCCUUCUCUCUCUAUUUCUUCCUUCUUUCUGCAUCAGAUGGUUAACAAAAUAGACACAGUCUUGGAGCAAGUCUAGAGUGGCACA